UACGUAGGGGGCAAGCGUUGUCCGGAUUUAUUGGGCGUAAAGCGCUCGCAGGCGGCUCGAUGCGUCGUGCGUGAAACACCCCGGCUCAACUGGGGAGGGUCGUGCGAUACGGUCGAGCUUGAGGCCGGUAGGGGGAUGCGGAAUUCCGGGUGUAGUGGUGGAAUGCGUAGAUAUCGUAAGGAAGACCAGUGGCGAAGGCGGGUCUCUGGACAGUUCCUGACGCUGAGGCACGAAGGUCAGGGGAGCAAACGGG
rnacentral:rRNA from 1 species